UACGAAGGGGGCUAGCGUUGCUCGGAAUCACUGGGCGUAAAGCGCACGUAGGCGGCUUUUUAAGUCAGGGGUGAAAUCCUGGAGCUCAACUCCAGAACUGCCCUUGAUACUGGCGGUCUCGAGUCCGGGAGAGGUGAGUGGAACUGCGAGUGUAGAGGUGAAAUUCGUAGAUAUUCGCAAGAACACCAGUGGCGAAGGCGGCUCACUGGCCCGGUACUGACGCUGAGGUGCGAAAGCGUGGGGAGCAAACAGG
rnacentral:rRNA from 1 species